rnacentral:rRNA from 1 species
UACGGAGGGUGCAAACGUUGCUCGGAAUUAUUGGGCGUAAAGCGCAUGUAGGCGGCCAACUAAGUCGGGAUGUGAAAGCCCAGGGCUUAACCCUGGGAAGUGCACUCGAAACUGGCUGGCUUGAAUAUGGAAGAGGGUCGCGGAAUUCCCGGUGUAGAGGUGAAAUUCGUAAGAUAUCGGGAGGAACACCAGUGGCGAAGGCGGCGACCUGGGCCAAUAUUCGACGCUGAGAUGCGAAAGCGUGGGGAGCAAACAGG